UUAUGAAGUAAUCUAAAGUCGAAAAAUACGAACUGUAGUUUAAAACUCAAAGAUUUUGGCGGUGUCUUAUCGAACCAGGGGAACCUGUCUCAUAACUCGAUAAUCCACGAACUCCUUACCAUUCCUAGAUUCAAACAGCUUGUGUACUGCCGUCGUAAGCACACCUCUAAAAGUAUUUAGUAUGCAACUAUGACACCACUCAUUUACGUCAGGUCAAAGUGCAGCUCAUGGAAAGGUGAUGAUGGGUUACACCCUUAAUAAAGAUACGAAAUAUAUUAUUAAAAUCUAUAUAAAGGUGGACUUGGUUGUAAUCAUAAUAUAAUAUUAUAAUGAAAACGAAUCUAAGACAUGCACACAUCGCCCGUCACUCUCGCCUAAAGGCG
rnacentral:rRNA from 1 species